UACGUAGGGGGCAAGCGUUGUCCGGAAUCAUUGGGCGUAAAGCGCGUGUAGGCGGCCACGUUAGUCCGUUCUGAAAGCCCGGGGCUCAACCCCGGGAGGCGGAUGGAUACUGCGUGGCUCGAGUCCGGAAGAGGCGAGUGGAAGUCCUGGUGUAGCGGUGAAAUGCGCAGAUAUCAGGAGGAACACCAAUGGCGAAGGCAGCUCGCUGGGACGUGACUGACGCUGAGACGCGAAAGUGUGGGGAGCAAACAGG
rnacentral:rRNA from 1 species